UACGUAGGGUGCAAGCGUUAAUCGGAAUUACUGGGCGUAAAGCGUGCGCAGGCGGUUGUGCAAGACAGGUGUGAAAUCCCCGGGCUUAACCUGGGAACUGCGCUUGUGACUGCACGACUAGAGUACGGCAGAGGGGGGUGGAAUUCCUGGUGUAGCAGUGAAAUGCGUAGAGAUCAGGAGGAACAUCGAUGGCGAAGGCAGCCCCCUGGGCCUGUACUGACGCUCAUGCACGAAAGCGUGGGGAGCAAACAGG
rnacentral:rRNA from 1 species